UACGAAGGGGGCGAGCGUUGUUCGGAAUUACUGGGCGUAAAGGGCGCGUAGGCGGCGACUCUAGUCAGAUGUGAAAAGUCCUGGGCUUAACCUGGGGACUGCAUUUGAUACUGGGUUGCUUGAAUUCGGGAGAGGAUAGCGGAAUUCCCAGUGUAGAGGUGAAAUUCGUAGAUAUUGGGAAGAACACCGGUGGCGAAGGCGGCUAUCUGGACCGACAUUGACGCUGAGGCGCGAAAAGCGUGGGGAGCAAACAGGG
rnacentral:rRNA from 1 species